CAACGGAUCUCUUGGCUCUCCCAUCGAUGAAGAACGCAGCGAAAUGCGAUAAGUAAUGUGAAUUGCAGAAUUCAGUGAAUCAUCGAAUCUUUGAACGCACCUUGCGCCCUUUGGUAUUCCGAAGGGCAUGCCUGUUUGAGUGUCAUUAAAUUCUCAACUU
rnacentral:rRNA from 1 species